GAUAAUGGCAGUUCGACGGUGAACCAGCUUGCUUGGUGGAUCAGUGGCGAACGGGUGAGUAACACGUGAGCAACCUGCCCUGGACUCUGGGAUAAGCGCUGGAAACGGCGUCUAAUACUGGAUAUGAGACGUGAUCGCAUGGUCGUGUUUGGAAAGAUUUUUCGGUCUGGGAUGGGCUCGCGGCCUAUCAGCUUGUUGGUGAGGUAAUGGCUCACCAAGGCGUCGACGGGUAGCCGGCCUGAGAGGGUGACCGGCCACACUGGGACUGAGACACGGCCCAGACUCCUACGGGAGGCAGCAGUGGGGAAUAUUGCACAAUGGGCGGAAGCCUGAUGCAGCAACGCCGCGUGAGGGAUGACGGCCUUCGGGUUGUAAACCUCUUUUAGCAGGGAAGAAGCGAAAGUGACGGUACCUGCAGAAAAAGCGCCGGCUAACUACGUGCCAGCAGCCGCGGUAAUACGUAGGGCGCAAGCGUUAUCCGGAAUUAUUGGGCGUAAAGAGCUCGUAGGCGGUUUGUCGCGUCUGCUGUGAAAUCCCGAGGCUCAACCUCGGGGUCUGCAGUGGGGUACGGGGCGGACUAGAGUGCGCGUAGGGGAGAUUG
rnacentral:rRNA from 1 species